rnacentral:rRNA from 1 species
GACGAACGCUGGCGGCGUGCUUAACACAUGCAAGUCGAACGGAAAGGCCCUGCUUUUGUGGGGUGCUCGAGUGGCGAACGGGUGAGUAACACGUGAGUAACCUGCCCUUGACUUUGGGAUAACUUCAGGAAACUGGGGCUAAUACCGGAUAGGAGCUCCUGCUGCAUGGUGGGGGUUGGAAAGUUUCGGCGGUUGGGGAUGGACUCGCGGCUUAUCAGCUUGUUGGUGGGGUAGUGGCUUACCAAGGCUUUGACGGGUAGCCGGCCUGGGAGGGUGACCGGCCACAUUGGGCCUGAGAUACGGCCCAGACUCCUACGGGGGGCAGCAGUGGGGAAUAUUGCACAGUGGGCGGAAGCCUGAUGCAGCAGCGCCGCGUGCGUGAUGACGGCCUUCGGGUUGUAAACCGCUUUCGCCUGUGACGAAGCGUGAGUGACGGUAAUGGGUAAAGAAGCACCGGCUAACUACGUG